AAGAAUUUGUAAAUGGCUUUGUUCAUCAAAAUGGCAUCACUGUCAUAACCCACAAUCCCCCCAAAGGUAUUUUCUUUUUCUUCUGAAUCUUCUUUUCUUUUCCUUUUAUUCUUUUUGUUUCUUCCUUCAUGCAGGCGAUUCCGACUCCAUGCCCGCAAGUUGCUGAGGACGAGUUUUUACCGCAACACAUUCACCUCAGGUAUUUCCUUCUUUUUUUUCUUUCACGACAGCUUCGUAUCUAAUUUUUUUUAACCUUCCUUUUCUCUGCGAGUAUUUUUCGCUAUGGCCGAAGAAUUUGUGAAUGGCUUUGUUCAUCAAAACGGCAUCGCUGUCAUAACCCAUAAUCCCCCCAAAGGUGAUGGGGAGAAAAAGACCAAAAUUUGGAUAAUAUUGGCUGUUGUGGUGGGGCUGAUCUGCCUUGGAAUCCAUAUAUUUCUGGUAUGGAGGUUUAAGAGAAAACCUAAAGCAAUUUCAUCAGCUUUUGGUUAUAACAACAAUA